rnacentral:tRNA from 2 species
GUCCCUAUCGUCUAGAGGCCUAGGACAUCGCCCUUUCACGGCGGUAACCGGGUUCGAAUCCCCGUAGGGACGCCA